rnacentral:lncRNA from 1 species
GCCCAGUUCUCUAGCCACCUCAUAAUGGGUAUUAUCUGACGUCAUUGGCAAGUUGCUUUGCUAGAUUAUGCUGAAAUAAUUGAGGAAUCCUUACCUAUGCUAACCCUGAGAGGAAGAGCCAGAGAGGGAAGUCUCUGAGCUGUGAGCUACCCUGAUUCUACACUGGGAAGUUAGGGGUAGAAGCACACAGGAGCCCAGCACUUACAGCCAGUGGCCCUGGGGGUCUCCUCCAGCUCCACCUCAUGACACCCCGUGCUGCUGCGUGACUGCUCCUGGUGCCAAGGCCACCGCUGCCAUGAGUCUGAAUGGCUAAUGCUGAGAUUAGCAGGGCCUCCCUUCUACUGGCCUGUCCUCCUGGCUCUCCUCCCUUUUGCCUCUUCUGGAUUUCAGGGAGCUUUUCUGUGCCAAACCAGGAAUCACAGACAUGCAGGGGCAAGAGGGUCUACUCUAGCACGGAUUAAGACGACCUCCUAAAGCCAUCUUAUGCCCAAGUAAAUAAGUAUCCAAUAAACAGACAAUAUCUCAACAGAAAAACAGCACCCA